rnacentral:sRNA from 1 species
AACCCAUUAUAUUCAAAUCAAUACAACUUUGAAAAAGCUCAGUGGACAGAAGUGAAAAGAAUGAUUGAAAAGUUGAAAUUAGAGAAUAGAGAAACUCUUUAUUGGAAAUCAGAUACAAAUCUUACAGAUAAAAUGCUUGAAGACAGAGCAAAUUUAAUCACUGAGAUUAUUCUUUCAAGUAUAAAGAAAUAUAUUCCAUUGAAAAGAGUCUCUGAAUUCUCUAAGCCUUGGUGGAAUGAUGAGAUUUCAAAUAAAAGAAGACAUUUAGCUAGAGUUAAAAAAGAUUGGAAAGAAGAUCUUGUUUCAUUUGAGUAUUUAAAGAAUAUUAGAAAUGAUUAUUUCUCAACAAUUAAAAAGGCAAAGACUGAUUGUUGGAAUAACUUUCUAGAAAAUGCUCAGGGGAAAGAGAUCUUCAAAGCUUUUAGAUAUACUAAGUCAAAAACAAUGUCUAAGCUACCAACAUUAACUUAUAAUUUCCAGAAUGAGGAAAUUAUAGCUAGCUCAUUUGAAGAUAAAUGUCAAGCUUUUAUGAGAAUAUUAUUUCCAUCAUCAAAUAAUUCAACUGAGAUUUGUUCUUUGCAAGA